rnacentral:misc_RNA from 1 species
UUAUUAAAAAGUGCAUUUGUAAAAAAAACAUUCGAUCGUAAUCGUUUGCUUUUUGCGUAGGUAUCAUUACCAACAUCAUAUUUUUGAAUGCCAGAGUGAAAAACUUAUUAUACCUUACUCUCGAGAUCUCAAAUGUUGGCAAAAUAAUUUAAGUUUGGAAAAGUUUCAAAUUUUGUUUAAAAUAAGAAAGUGUACUUAUUACUGUUAUAUCUUAAAAGAAGCUGCAAAUGAUUUAACAUAUAUAUGCAGCUUGAAAAGGAUUUUUUAAAAUUCAUUUAACAGUAUGAGUAGAAAACGGUAACAGAAGUGUGAUAUAAAAAAAAACAAUAAAAUAUAGGGAACAUUUUAAUAAGAAAUUUAUUAUUCGUAAUAAUUUACGCAGUUUAAAAAUAAGUUGAAAUGAGUCGGAAGAAAAAAUUUGGAAAAAAAAAAUCGAAAAAUGCUAUGAGGGAUAUAGAAUAAAUAGUAUUGAAUCAUUUUUUUUAAUUUUAUAUAAAAUAUAUUAAGCGACGAAAUACUUGAUAUUAAUAACAUCUUCACAAUUAAUUUAUUAUUGUGAUAUAAAUUGUAUUUAAGGCAUUUUUGUGUGUUCAUUAAUUGUAGAUACUUCUAUAUCAUUUUUAUAAUAUUUUCCUUGUUCAUUAUGCUCCGUUACCCAAUUUUAAGGUA